rnacentral:lncRNA from 1 species
GUAAAAUAAAAGAACUACUAAAAUUGUCAACUUUCUUUAGGUUUGAUAUUGAUAUUUUAUCUUUACUUCAUAAUACAUUAUCAGCACGAGACUCUACCGUCUCAAAAUUUAAAGGCAAAGGAAAGAAAAUUGGACCAGAAGGUGGAGAAGGCAAGACCACAAGAACUAUAUGAUCAUCACGAUUUAAAUUUCACCUUUCUACUAUUUAUAAUAAGAUAAGUAUAUUAUUAACUCGUGUUGUUUAAGUUUGAAAAGAAUAUUGAUAAUCACAAAGUGGUGAUAUUGUUAUAGGCUUAAGUUGGAGUUUAUUAUACUUUGUCCUAAUAUGUUAUUGGUCGAGGGUGUGGUGAUGGAUUUAAGUCUCAUGUCAUUAAGAGGGUAAGAUAUCGGGUUACAGUUUUGAUGCACCAUUAUGAUAAGAUAUUGGUUUCAAGUUUUAUCGAUCUAUUGUCUAAGAUGCUUUUUAUUUGGAUAACACGUUGAGUUUGAAUCUCAAUGCACCAUAUUGAUGAUAUAAUGAUGAAUAAAGUAAAAUUUUGAUGAAAAAGUCAUGAAAUAUGUCCUACUGAAUAUGAUUCAUUCCCUGAAGUGAAUUGUAACGACCUAAAAAAUUGAUGAAAUAUAUGAAAUUAGUGAUUUUAUGUGAUUUAAUUAUUUCACCCCUCCCCUUAAUUAUAUUAUGAUAUUUCUGGGGUGUGUGAGUGAUUUGCAUGUUUUUUUAUGCAUUUUGGUAUCAUUUAUGCACUAUUGUAGUUUUUUAUGGUUUCGAAAUCCUUAUUUUGGACUUAUGUGGAUAUCUUUUGAUCCGUGCAACGGAUGGAAGAACGGACUGUGCCAGCAGCUUCGGAAUAUCAAUUUUAGCCUAGGUAGACCUUUGGUUCGGGUCUCGGUGCACCCGAACUCAUUUCGACCGAUUGAUCGAAAAGUUGGAAAAUUGAAAUUAUGGGUGUGGGACCCAUAUUUGAUUGAAUGAUCUCAGAUGAAAAAUUCAACUUCUCCAGCAGAUCCAGAAUGUCGAUUUUAGGGUGUUAGCAUAUUUGGUAUGAUUUUAUGACUUUUAAAUCUCAUUUCGACCCUUAGUUUAAAAAAUUAUAAUUUCAGAUUUCGGGGAUCAACUUUGUGAAAAUAAUAUUUUUUUGAAAAUUUGAUAUCAUCAUCGCGUCCGGAACAUCGAAUUUAGUGUGGUUUCAUAGUUCGUUUGCAUAAAUCGAACUCCGAACGAAUCCCGGGCACCCCAUCGAAAUUCAUUCGACUUAAGGAAAAAAAUCCGCACAGCUAUUGCAGAAAAUCUUAAAUAAAUAGCCGAUUUUUCAACCUUUUUGGCUCAUUUUGCUCAUUUUCAUCUUGCCUCUUGGAAGUUAAACCCUAAAAUAGUGUGGAAGUUUAAAAGUAAAGUUUGUGAGAGGUUGGGAAGCUAGAUUAACUCCUUUUUUUUGUUUUAUUACGGAUUAAAGGUAAGAAUUCACCAUUUUCUUAAUAAUUUCUUGAUUAAUUUCUCAAAAUCCCAAAAAUCUUAGAGCAUGAUUUUAAAUCCAAAUUUCACUCUUUUCACUUGAAUAAUAUUUUUAUAUAAUUACUAGUUUUUCAUCAAUUUAACUUUCAAAAUAACUCUGAUUCUUGAUUUUAACCCGAAUUUCAAACAUUUUACCCGAUAAAGCUCAAAAAUGAUUUUUCUUCGAUUUGAACCCUGUUUUUUACUUAAUUUAACUUGGGUUUUCAGCUGUAGGUUCCUAAAAAUAUGGGGAACAUAUUUUUGAAGUAAAGUUUUGAUUUUGCCCUUCUUUCUUGAAACUCAUUUUGGGGGUUCGUUUUGACCCCGAAUCAAAAGUAGUCAAUAUGAGUGUCGUUGGUUUUGUCUUGACGUGUAGAUUUCAUAUUUGAUGUUUUUAGCAGAGUUUGAGAUUAUUCGUGAAAAGUAAGAUCACGGGUUCAAGUGUAGCGAACCGAUUUUGGCUUUUGAGGUAGGUUAUGACUUAACUCUUUUAGACUGGGUUAGGUAGUAAACAAUGGUACAAAAUACAUGCUAAGGGUGGGAACUAAUCAUGAAAAAUGGCUAUCUAUGUGUUGUGCCCGUGUGGGGGCUUAUAUGUGAUGUAAUUAUCGAAACUGAGAUAUUAUGUGAUAUGUGUGACCGUGUGGGGUCCUUUGUGAUAUUGAUAGCCUUGAAUACAUAUGAAUAAUUGUAUUGUGUUUUUAAAAUUCUUAAUGUGGUACCAUUGCAGUAAUGUGAUUAUAUUCAUACUUUAUUGCCAAAUGCGACAUGUGAAAAUUCAUGGAUGAUAUGAAAAUAAUGAGUGGAUAUUCGCCCAUGUGGUUGUGAAAAAGUAUCAUUGUGGUUGGUUGUGGAAAUAUAUCAUGUGGUUGUUUGUGAAAAUACUCAUUGUGAUUGGUUUUGAGCAUUACAUCUUCAUAUCAUACUCAUUCAUGAAACAUUGGUACUACUGUGGCAAUAUCUGAGAAACACUGGCAACACAUUUUUAAAAGAUAUUGUAACACCUUAUAAAACUCUUUCCAGGGGAUGUGCCGGAAAGGAUAUAUGAGAUAUGUGGGUUGUAUACGGGUUGACGAACCCCCCGUGGGUUCUGCGUUGGGAAGCUUGCCUCCGUAGAUGUAUACGGGGAUUGUGCGAUGAUUCCGGAGGUUGUGCGACGACCUCGUGCAUCAUCAUCAUCAUCAUCAUAUACAUUGCACUUACUUUAUUGUAUUUAUGUUGUGUUGUAUUUCCUUAUUGACUUGUAAUGAUCUCGGAUGAAAAAUUCAAAUUCUCCAGCAGAUCCAGAAUGUCGAUUUUAGGGUGUUAGCAUAUUUGGUAUGAUUUUACGACUUUUAAAUCUCAUUUCGACCCUUAGUUUAAAAAAUUAUAAUUUCAGAUUUCGGGGAUCAACUUUGUGAAAAUAAUAUUUUUUUGAAAAUUUGAUAUCAUCAUCGCGUCCGGAACAUCGAAUUUAGUGUGGUUUCAUAGUUCGUUUGCAUAAAUCGAACUCCGAACGAAUCCCGGGCACCCCAUCGAAAUUCAUUCGACUUAAGGAAAAAAAUCCGCACAGCUAUUGCAGAAAAUCUUAAAUAAAUAGCCGAUUUUUCAACCUUUUUGGCUCAUUUUGCUCAUUUUCAUCUUGCCUCUUGGAAGUUAAACCCUAAAAUAGUGUGGAAGUUUAAAAGUAAAGUUUGUGAGAGGUUGGGAAGCUAGAUUAACUCCUUUUUUAUGUUUUAUUACGGAUUAAAGGUAAGAAUUCACCAUUUUCUUAAUAAUUUCUUGAUUAAUUUCUCAAAAUCCCAAAAAUCUUAGAGCAUGAUUUUAAAUCCAAAUUUCACUCUUUUCACUUGAAUAAUAUUUUUAUAUAAUUACUAGUUUUUCAUCAAUUUAACUUUCAAAACAACUCUGAUUCUUGAUUUUAACCCAAAUUUCAAACAUUUUACCCGAUAAAGCUCAAAAAUGAUUUUUCUUCGAUUUGAACCCUGUUUUUUACUUAAUUUAACUUGGGUUUUCAGCUGUAGGUUCCUAAAAAUAUGGGGAACAUAUUUUUGAAGUAAAGUUUUGAUUUUGCCCUUCUUUCUUGAAACUCAUUUUGGGGGUUCGUUUUGACCCCGAAUCAAAAGUAGUCAAUAUGAGUGUCGUUGGUUUUGUCUUGACGUGUAGAUUUCAUAUUUGAUGUUUUUAGCAGAGUUUGAGAUUAUUCGUGAAAAGUAAGAUCACGGGUUCAAGUGUAGCGAACCGAUUUUGGCUUUUGAGGUAGGUUAUGACUUAACUCUUUUAGACUGGGUUAGGUAGUAAACAAUGGUACAAAAUACAUGCUAAGGGUGGGAACUAAUCAUGAAAAAUGGCUAUCUAUGUGUUGUGCCCGUGUGGGGGCUUAUAUGUGAUGUAAUUAUCGAAACUGAGAUAUUAUGUGAUAUGUGUGACCGUGUGGGGUCCUUUGUGAUAUUGAUAGCCUUGAAUACAUAUGAAUAAUUGUAUUGUGUUUUUAAAAUUCUUAAUGUGGUACCAUUGCAGUAAUGUGAUUAUAUUCAUACUUUAUUGCCAAAUGCGACAUGUGAAAAUUCAUGGAUGAUAUGAAAAUAAUGAGUGGAUAUUCGCCCAUGUGGUUGUGAAAAAGUAUCAUUGUGGUUGGUUGUGGAAAUAUAUCAUGUGGUUGUUUGUGAAAAUACUCAUUGUGAUUGGUUUUGAGCAUUACAUCUUCAUAUCAUACUCAUUCAUGAAACAUUGGUACCACUGUGGCAAUAUCUGAGAAACACUGGCAACACAUUUUUAAAAGAUAUUGUAACACCUUAUAAAACUCUUUCCAGGGGAUGUGCCGGAAAGGAGAUAUGAGAUAUGUGGGUUGUAUACGGGUAGACGAACCCCCCGUGGGUUCUGCGUUGGGAAGCUUGCCUCCGUAGAUGUAUACGGGGAUUGUGCGAUGAUUCCGGAGGUUGUGCGACAACCUCGUGCAUCAUCAUCAUCAUCAUAUACAUUGCACUUACUUUAUUGUAUUUAUGUUGUGUUGUAUUUCCUUAUUGACUUGUUAUCUAUGUAUUUAUCUUACCUUUCUUUGCUUGUAUUUGAUAAUCCCGUAUCUACAUGUUCUCUCUUGUUCUAUUUAUAUGUGACAUAAUGUAUAUUUGUGUUCUAUAUCUUGGUGUGUUGUUGUAAUAUAUGUGAGAUAUAUUAGAACUAUUAGUGCAAGCGGUGUGGGCUACCGUUGUCGGAUAUUUUCUGAUUGCAGGUGUUGUGCCCUUAGUGUGUAUUUUGUAUGCUUUAUUUACUACUUUGCUUGAUCGGCCUAUGAUACCUACUGAGUACAAGUGGACCGUACUCAUGCCUACUGCAUUCUUUCGGUGCAGGUCUUAGCUCGAGUGUGCCUUAGCUUGAUUGACUAGGACGACUAUUGGAUCUUCCAAGGUAGCAGUUGAACAUUCAUGCAUCCAAAGUUCACCUCUAUCUUUCUAUAGUAGUUAUGUCUUUAUUAGUAUUAGGAGACAGUUAUUAUUUUUUUGUGGUUAUUUUUCGAUGUAUUUGACUCUUGAAUUGUAUUAAUAGUUCUUACAUUAUUGACGCCUGGUUUUGGG